AGAGUUUGAUCAUGGCUCAGAGCGAACGCUGGCGGCAGGCCUAACACAUGCAAGUCGAGCGCCUUCUUCGGAAGGAGCGGCGGACGGGUGAGUAACACGUGGGAACGUGCCCUUCGGUUCGGGAUAACUCAGGGAAACUUGAGCUAACACCGGAUACGCCCCUCGGGGGAAAGGUUACGCCGAAGGAGCGGCCCGCGUCUGAUUAGCUAGUUGGUGAGGUAAAGGCUCACCAAGGCUACGAUCAGUAGCUGGUCUGAGAGGAUGAUCAGCCACACUGGGACUGAGACACGGCCCAGACUCCUACGGGAGGCAGCAGUGGGGAAUCUUGCGCAAUGGGCGAAAGCCUGACGCAGCCAUGCCGCGUGAAUGAUGAAGGUCUUAGGAUUGUAAAAUUCUUUCAGCGGGGACGAUAAUGACGGUACCCGCAGAAGAAGCCCCGGCUAACUUCGUGCCAGCCGCCGCGGUAAUUC
rnacentral:rRNA from 1 species